rnacentral:rRNA from 1 species
GACGAACGCUGGCGGCGUGCUUAACACAUGCAAGUCGAACGAAGUGGCGAACGGGUGAGUAACGCGUAAUCAACCUGCCCUUCAGAGGGGGACAACAGUUGGACACGCCUGCUCAUACCUCCUACUGAAGGAGGGGAUUGCGUCUGAUUAGCUAGUUGGCUGGGUACAGGCCCAACAAGGCGAUUAUCAGUAGCCGGUCUGAGAGGAUGAACGGCUACAUUGUGACUGAGACACGGCCCAGACUCCUACGGGAGGCAGAAGUGGGGAAUCUUCCGCAAUGGACGAAAGUCUGACGGAGCAACGCCGCGUGAGUGAUGACGGCCUUCGGGUUGUAAAGCUCUGUUAAUCGGGACGCGGUACCGGAAUAGAAAGCCACGGCUAACUACGUGCCAGCAGCCGCGGUAAUUC